UUUAUUUACAGCUGUCGAGUAAAGACCACUGAAUCAUCAUCUACCGCAGACACAGUUCAGACUCUGGAAUCAACAUCUGUUGGUGAGGAAGAAAGUUCAUUUAAAGGAAGCUCUGAGGUUCCUCAAGUCUCGAUGGUUCUGUUAAUGAUUCCCAUGAUGAUGUUGACCUUAGUACUGUAAAUUGUCUAUUUGAAUACAUGUCUUAAAUUCUCUUCUGCGGACUGAAAAACACUUUGUAAAAUAAAUUCUUUUUUGUGUACAAUAAUAGCUUCAUUGCUUUAUACGUGGAUAACAUUCUUGUAGUGAUUUGUAUAUAUAUAUAUAUCCUAUAUGGACUAUUUUAUUUUUGCUAGCUAUGAACACUUUACUGUACAUAAACUGAUAUUUCUUGAUAUAUAUAUAUAUGUAUUAAUAAACUACCAAAGCGGAGUGAAAUAUUGAAAUAAAAGAGUAAAAAGAAAACAAAAUCUGAAGAGAAAACA